AAGCAAAGGAGGAAAAAUUCAUCGCCGUAAUAACGAAAAUGAUAAACCUCAGCUGUCUUACAGAAGAAUGUCAGAGUUAGACAUUCUGCCAUUUUACCAGGAAAUCUUUACAAACAUGUAGAAAAAUGUGACUGAUAUCUCUUCCCCUGCGGAUGGAGCAACGAAAUUUAUUUCAUCCAGCCAGUCUCUGUCCAGGGAAGUUUACAGAUGUGAUUUUGACUCCUCACGUCAUGUCUAGCAGAGUGCUCUACAACCUUUCCUGGCAGUCCUCUCCAGCAACACACUAAGGAAAUGAUCCACUGAGGGUCAUAUCAGAUGUCACUAAGAGCCAUCUUCCUACUGAUACACAUACCCCUUCAUGACUGCAAGCUUGUAAUAGACCAUCUUCUCAACUGCUGGCAUGGGAGGAGUACCCCUAGAGAGAAUGCACCUUAAGAAUGAGGCAUGCAGAGAUAUCUGGCUCCAACAAUGACAAUGGCUACAAGCAAUGCACUCCACAAACCCCAAACCAACAAACUACAGAACACCAAUAAAGCACAGUACAGAAUUCACAGAUAGUCCAUUUCUUUAGUGGAUUUGGGUGUAGAAUACAGAUGGUGGGAUCACAAG
rnacentral:lncRNA from 1 species